rnacentral:lncRNA from 1 species
GUGCUUAUGAAAUGAGCAAAAACCCUAACAUCAACAUCGCUAUUAUCGAACAAUCUGUCAGUCCUGGUGGUGGUGCUUGGUUAGGCGGUCAGCUUUUUUCUGCCAUGGUUGUUCGCAAACCUGCUCACAUCUUCCUUGAUGAACUCGGUGUUGAAUACGAUGAACAAGACACCUAUGUUGUUAUCAAGCACGCUGCCUUGUUUACAUCCACAAUCAUGUCUAAGCUUUUGGCUAAACCAAAUGUGAAACUUUUUAAUGCUGUUGCUGCUGAGGAUUUGAUCGUGAAAGAAGGUAAAGUUGCUGGGGUUGUCACAAAUUGGGCUUUGGUUUCUAUGAAUCAUGAUACACAAUCAUGUAUGGAUCCAAAUGUAAUGGAAGCUAAGAUUGUUGUCAGUUCUUGUGGCCAUGAUGGUCCUUUUGGUGCUACUGGUGUGAAGAGGCUGAAGAGCAUUGGAAUGAUUGAUUCUGUUCCUGGUAUGAAAGCUCUUGAUAUGAAUACUGCUGAGGAUGCUAUUGUCAGAUUGACAAGAGAAAUUGUUCCUGGGAUGAUUGUUACUGGGAUGGAAGUGGCUGAGAUUGAUGGUGCUCCAAGAAUGGUAAGUUUUGAUUAUGAUGAUUAAAUCUAAACCAUUAAUUUUUUUUAAUAGUUAUACAUGAUUCAGUAAUUCAAUGGUUUUGAUUUAAUAUAUAAUAUAUAUAGGGAC